CUGACAGUCUUCCUAACUCUUAACCCCAGCCCUGCUUCCUAGAGGCAAACACUUUUAACUUCCUGUUUUCCAUCCUUUUGAAAAGCAGUUCCAGGAAUUGCUUUGAGUAAGCAAACUUUCAGAUUUGCCAUUGACGGACCAAUGCAAGACAAAUGCAAGCUCGUGCAGAGGGAAAAACAAGCAUGGUCUUUUAAAUCAGUAAGGAUGAAAAUCAGAAUCCCAG
rnacentral:lncRNA from 1 species